UUGAGUUUCUAGGACUCUUUACAGUUCUUUCACCCACCCUGAAAGUUCGAUUUUCUCAUUUGGAAUGUGAGUGAAGCAGUGUACCUUUACUGUGGUCACGGUGAAAAGUCUCAGAAAUUUGCCUCAUGACAAUGACUCAGUAAAGGAUGUGGCUUUCACGAGUCGCUGUGGGUAAACAACAGAGAGGGACUGAUUGCUUGAUUCUGCUUCUGAGGAGCCCUGGUUGAAAUGCAAUUGUACAACUAUAUGAAAAACAAGUCUCCCAAAACAUGCUCCACAGUACAGAAAAUGCCACCAAAUCACUAUCUUGAACAGAAAAGGACUUCAAGAUACAAACAUCAGCCAUGUGAGACACAGAAGGAACUGAAGCAGGGUGCUGGAGAGAUGACUCAGUGGUUAAGAGCACUGGCUGCUAUUACAGAGGACCUGGGUUCAAUUCCCAGCACCCACACAGUCGCUCACAGCUGCCUGUAACACCUAUUUCAGAAGAUCUAAUGUCCUUCUCUGACCUCCACACGUGGCAAAACAGACAUCAAAACAAAACACUCGAAUAAAA